CUCCUCCUUCGCCAUGUGUUACCUGACAGGAGUUAGUUUCACCGUGUGUUGUGCUCAGUGGGUGUGUCUCUUUUCUGCUUGGGAACUGCUUUAUUCUUUCUUUCUCAAUGCAUUCAUCUGUCUUAAGCCGUCUCUGUCGCCAUCUUUUCCUCAUUUGAACACAGAGCUUCAGCAUGUCUGCUCCUGCCAGUGAUGAUGGUGCUGUGUCUCGCCAUCUAAUGGCCUGUGCUGAUAUUAUAUGCAAAUAUGGUAGAUGUGUGCUGAUGGAUGGGAAGCCCACCUGUGAGUGUAUGCUGGGCUACAUCGGAGACACCUGUAAUGAAACAAUUAAUAACUCUCUGUCUGUGCCGCUCACCCUCGGUUUCCUGGCUUCCAUCAUUGGCUUUAUCAUCAUGUUCUUUGGGAUGGCUUUUUUCCGGCAAAGGCAAAAGGCGAAGAAGAGAGAAAAGGCAGCUGAAGAAGCCCUGUUAAGAAACGGAGCACAUCUUUAACAUGUUUUAAUGCCAAAAAAUAGGUUCGUGGUUCUACAACACAAUGUCUCAAAUGAACUCUAUUAUGAUGGUAACUCUUUUCUCUCUCUCUUUGUGUGUCUUUUUAAACUGUAUCUUUUA